rnacentral:rRNA from 1 species
AGCAGCAGCCACGGGAAUACGAAGGGUGCAAGCGUUACUCGGAAUUACUGGGCGUAAAGCGUGCGUAGGUGGUUGUUUAAGUCUGCUGUGAAAGCCCUGGGCUCAACCUGGGAAUUGCAGUGGAUACUGGGCAACUAGAGUAAGGUAGAGGAUAGUGGAAUUUCCGGUGUAGCAGUGAAAUGCGUAGAGAUCGGAAGGAACAUCUGUGGCGAAGGCGACUAUCUGGGCCAUUACUGACACUGAGGCACGAAAGCGUGGGGAGCAAACAGGAUUAGAUACCCCCGUAGUCCCCUGUCUCUUAUA